UAGGUGUUUGACAUUUGCUUGCACAAAUCA
rnacentral:piRNA from 1 species